GACGAACGCUGGCGGCGUGCCUAAUACAUGCAAGUCGAACGAACCGCGACUAGGUGCUUGCACUUGGUCAAGGUGAGUGGCGAACGGGUGAGUAACACGUGGGUAACCUACCUCAUAGUGGGGGAUAACAGUCGGAAACGACUGCUAAUACCGCAUAGGACAUAGGAUCACAUGAUCCAGUGAGGAAAGGUGGCGCAAGCUAUCGCUACGAGAUGGACCCGCGGUGCAUUAGCUAGUUGGUAGGGUAAAGGCCUACCAAGGCGAUGAUGCAUAGCCGACCUGAGAGGGUGAUCGGCCACAUUGGGACUGAGACACGGCCCAAACUCCUACGGGAGGCAGCAGUAGGGAAUCUUCCGCAAUGGACGCAAGUCUGACGGAGCAACGCCGCGUGAGUGAAGAAGGUCUUCGGAUCGUAAAGCUCUGUUGUUAGAGAAGAACAGCGUAUAGAGUAACUGUUAUGCGUGUGACGGUAUCUAACCAGAAAGCCACGGCUAACUACGUG
rnacentral:rRNA from 1 species